CCAGGCCAUGGCUUCAUGUGCUCCGUGAAACGUUCCCGAGUGCCUCGGCUGCUCUGCUCGCGGCCCCUCCGUGGGGAUGCAGACAUCGAACAGCUUCCGAGCACUCCUCAGCCACUAAUGAAACACAUUCCCGACAGCAGCUUCCUGAGGAGUCCCGGGGAUCACAGAUGCUGGAGGUGCAGCGGCCCCAAGGAGGACCAGCCUGGGUCAGCCUCCAGCUCUGAGCCCUGCUCAGGAGGGAGCCAGAGCCAGGAAACCUCAGUGAGGUGCUGGAUUUUCAUCCGUGCCAUGCAAGGGUUUGUUCUCCCUCUCUGCACUCUGAAGAGACGGUUUAAUUGUUGAAACGCUGAAUUGUUUAAAUGAAAUUAAAAUCAUUAUCCAA